rnacentral:lncRNA from 1 species
CGGAUAAUGAAGUGAGUUGCAGUUAAGAUGGAGCCCACUGGGGAAGAGAUGAAGCAGUGUUCACCUGAAGCACCAUCUGCAUUUUCCUAGUCCUGACAGUUACCUCUAGCUGACCAGGGUUUCUGUGCAGGACUUCUGGUAUCAAAUCAACGAUCAAGGGUGGUUACACAUAAAGAUGAACAGUUCCAUAGGCAGGUUUAAAAAAGAAAGCCUAUGAAGAAAUGUUAAUACUUAGCAGCACUCUGAAGUUAAGGGAUAUGGUGCUAGAAAAGCUUUAAAUAUCCUUAUAAUAGUCUAGAAUAUUGUCUCCUCAAUAAAAACAGGCAGUAGGCUUUCUAUCAGCUAAAGCCAAAUGCAACCUGCCAUCCAAGCCAGUUACCAAAUAGUCCUUGCUGCUAUUAAAAUUAUCACCAGGGAGUUCAAGGACUAGGGAGUCAUUUGAAAUGGCCUUGGAAAAUGUGUUGAAAGAAUUGCCUCAAACCGUUGUCCCUGGUGCUUGUUCUUUGUCCCUGUGCUCUAAUAUACAGUACAUGAUAAAAUAUAUCCUGUAUAUUUAUAAUGUGUCCAGAAAACGCCAAAGUGCUUAAGGCUCUGACAUUGUUUUCAUUAGAGAUUGAUACUUUAGGGAAUGCAAAUGCCAACUUUUCAAAUUUCCUAUAGGUGGAAACUCCAAAUGAUGCCAGCUUUUAAAAACGUUUUGUACUUUGUGAAGCUCUAGAGCAGCUGUGUGUGACUAGAAUGAAGAAAGACGCUUGUAUAAAAUGCCAGCAAAACAACCCCACCUGCUAACAGGAAUGCUGGCGGUCAUAAUAGCCAAGACCUGGGAACUUGAUUAUUCAUUCAGCUAACCUCAUCUUUUGUCAGCCUCACCAGUGGUAGGUAGUAAAUCUGAGAAAGAUAAUUUAGACUGAAAUAUUAGUGGCCUUUCAAGUUGCAAUACAGCUCAUUCCUUUGAUUCUAGUCUACCAGUUGCCACUUCUGGUCCAUUUGCAUAUAACACUGGAGAAGUGUUCCUUUAUCUUUGUGAAGCCCUUAACAUUCAAGGAGCCACUACUGCUUCUAUGCUGCUGAAAAAUACAAGACACUGCCUCUACCUCUGCAUCUGUCCUUUGCUUUUUGCUUGGAAACUAUCACAUCAAAUCACACUGAGAUCAGGAGAUGAGAUGAAGGAUCAGCUGAGGAACAGUCAUCCCAACAGUA